UUUAGUGGUUGAUUCCAAAUAUAAGUAUUCCCAAAGCUUAAGUGUACCACGCCAAAGGAAACAGUGGGAAUAAUGCUUAUCAGAUUGUAGAGCAGUUUUUUUUCGAGUGAUUAAAAGUGCAAAAUAUCCAAUAAUCCUGUUUUAACAAACACAUACCUAUGAAUUAGAGGUGAGGAUUGUUCAACCAAUAUGAUAUUGUGAAUGUUACUUAGCAACCGUGAUUCCCAGAAUUUACUCUAUUUCAUUUGAAAUGUUUUUUUUGCCUACAUUGUAUAAUUUUUUAAGUGCCAAUAUAUCAACUGCCAGGGAAUAGAUUGAAUAUCAAAUAACUCUUGAUUUGUAUGUAUAUCCUAAAGGGAGACUUUCAUUUGACAUACAAAGUCCACGCAAGUGUCAAAGGCUGUUUUGCUCCAAUAGUCCAUGUGUCCAUGUCAAAAUAGAGAGUUGAUAGGAUUGAUCUAAACAGUCCACUAUUUUAAUAUAUGAAUAUACAUUUUAUUUAUUGUUAUUUAUUUAUAUAUAAUUGGGUCUAGGUGGGAUAUAGGUAUGGGUUUGCUAUAAAAAAAAAUGACCCAGUUGAAUAAUGAGUGGAGAGUUAGAAGACAAGUAGACCGGGCAACCUGGAUAAGUCUUAUAAAUUUUGACUAGAGCUAACAAAUCCUUAGUUUUUGACGAUGUUGGCACCAGCUCGAACCCUUAUUCUUUCAUAGACCAGUUACAAAUACAGGUGAGGAUUGGUCAGUUGAGAAAAGGAAUAGACGAGCAAAGCAUCGGUUGUUCAUUAGGUGUAUUUGUAGGCUGAGGGUUAGAAAUAUAGGUGGAAGAAUGGUUUGGGCCCCAAGUGCACAGUAUCGGUUGUUCAUUUGGUGAAAUGUAUUUGUAGUGAGGAAAUCAAUGUAGUAAAAUGGUCAAUGUGAUAUUUUCCUUUUGAGUAUUCCUCAUCCAAACAGUAAAUAUGGUUAGAUUUGAACUAUCCAUCAAUGGGCCCUACCGUGGAGUAGCCAAACUCAAAAAAUCACAGUACUGAAUGAUCCUAUCUGAUCAGAGCCAUACCAACAAAGACUAUGAAAAGGAACAAGAAAAACAAUUCACAUUCAAUAGGAACAAAAAAUAAAAUAAAAUAAAAUCCAUUAAUUGGAAAUAGGAUUGUUUAAUAGUUUGGAAUUUUUAAGCCAUGGGAAUCUAAAUUCUCAGGGCCGAGCUGACAAACAAUUCAGAUCUAACUCAUAAUUUUGAAUACUAUGAGAAAAAGUAGUGGACUAGUAAAGAAGGAGAAUAUGAUUUAGAGAGGAGAAAAUUACAAUGUGAUUUGAAAUAGGUGUAAAAUCCAAUUGAAAGCGAAAAUAAAAUAUUAGAGAUGAUUAAAAAGGAAGGAAAACUCGUUCAUGUACACCAAAGAUUGGUUGGAUUUAGUGAAUUUUACACAAAUUGGUCUUGAUUUAGUGAUUUUUUUACACAUUGACUUGGGCUGCUGCAAAACUCACGUCUCCGGCCCAUCUCUGAUCAGUGACUGUGAUAAGAGAACUUCAGGCCUGUUUGGGAACUUGGGAAAAAAAAAAUCACUAAAAUAUGAUUUCAGAUUCAACUCUAGAAUAUUUCACAAUUUCAAAAAACUUUUGAUUGGAUGCUGUGGAUAAAAUACAUGCAUCAUGCUGUGCCCAUUGAGCUUUAACACCAACUACUGGCUUGUGUUGGGAUCACCAGCCAACUAUUGAUACCCUGCACAUCUGAGUUGUGGAAACUGACCUGACUUUUAUGCGAGGCGAUCUAGAUCCAAACACAGUAUCAUAGCUAAUGGAAAGCUCAGAUGCCACACAUGUAUCAUGUUGUAAUACAUGCCCACAUGUAUAAAUUAGCAAACCUCCAUUGUGGGAUUAUCACUUCUGAUGGAUGGACUGAUAUGUUACUGGUCAAGCUAUUUGAUGCUCUAGCUAUGUUUGACACUUGAUACACAGGCAUUUAGAAAUGGUACACGUGGCAUCAACUCAAGUUAGAACCACUGUCUCUGAGUUAUAGCCCAAAAGUUAGAUUGGUCCAAUAAUCCUAAACGCCAAUUCUAAGACACUUGUUUGCUGAAAUAGAAACACUAGAUUUUUUUUAAGUGCCUCAUUAUCAUCGAUGACACUCUGCUAGAGUAUCUAUGUUUUUUCCAAAUCAUUGUCUUAGAUUGAUUUGAACUGUUUAUGUUCGUACCACUGCCAUAUAGACAUGGCUUAUAUGCAUAGUAAUCACUAUCUUUGGAGUGUUCAGAUUUGAGAAAUGAUUUGGUUGGCUAAGUGUACAGAAACCACCUUCACAUGCAUACAGAUGCAUUUCACAUCCAAGUCAGGAUCUAGCUAAUUGGUAUUCACUUUAUGCUUUCUUUGCGGAGGUACAUCGAUACAGGAGAUUUCUUCCGAGUAGCUUGAGGAAAGGAGAUUUAUAUCUAGAGGCAACUACAAAUUUCUGAGUCCUCUAGUGGUGGUUCACCCUCGAAUAAUUAUAGAAGACGCACAAGAGAAGUUAUCGGUAUAGCUGUUGGAGGUGCAGGUAGACUACUGAUACUCGCAUCCAUUUUCUAUCUAUGGUGGAUGAAGGAUGCACCUGACCAUAUG